UGAGGUCUGAAGCAUAUUUUCUCUAGCCAAUGCAAUCAUGAGCACGAGGCUUCUCCGGUGUGUAGCCCUUUAUCUCCUGGUAGCAGGCUCCUUUGACUGCCAAGUUAUCCAGACUCCACAACAUCAGUUCAUAGGGAAAGGACAGAAAGCAAAAAUGAGCUGUAUUCCUGAAAAGGGACAUGCUUUUGUUUAUUGGUACCAACAGAAGCAAAACAAAGAGUUAAAGUUUUUGAUUUUCUUUCAACGUCAAGAAGUUCGUGACCGAAUUGACUUGUUCAAAGAGCGAUUCUUAGCUGAAUGUCCCUUAAACUCACCCUGCAGCUUGGAAAUCCAUUCCUCUGAAAGAGGAGACUCAGCGGUAUACCUCUGUGCCAGCAGUCUGUCCACAGCACUGAAAUGUUUAUUGUCUUUAGCACACAAAUUCUCCAUGGAGCAAACUCAGGAAGCAGGUGAUACUCUGGUUUGGACUGAAAUAAGAGAAGUUAACUGGAGCCAGUGA